CCUUUGUCUACGAGUACCCUUUUUCCUCAGCAGGCCUGCCUGCUGGGGGACCUAUAAACUACAUCUUUUUACAAUAACUGUCUGAAAAGUAAUAAAUCAAUUACAACUUUCAACAAUGGAUCUCUUGGCUCUGGCAUCGAUGAAGAACGCAGCGAAAUGCGAUAAGUAGUGUGAAUUGCAGAAUUCAGUGAAUCAUCGAAUCUUUGAACGCACAUUGCGCCCUUUGGUAGCCCAAAGGGCAUAUCUGUUCGAGUGUCAUUUACCUCUUCAAGCUCUGCUUGGUGUUGGGUGCUUGCCUUACUAGGCUCACCUUAAAGAAAUGAGUGCUUGCAUAGCCCGUAAGUAGCGGAGUAGAAUCUGCUGUGCGGGGGCUGUUUAGAGCACUGUAAACAUACAUUUUCACCUUUUGACCUCGGAUCAGAUAGGGAUACCCGCUGAACUUAAGCAUAUCAAUAAGCGGAG
rnacentral:rRNA from 1 species